GAAACACCCUUAUGGGGCAGGACUGGCUUCAGUGGGGCUUUGGUGCCCACUGAUUCUGCCCCCUGAGUGUGUCUCU
rnacentral:pre_miRNA from 1 species